UAGGCUGGGUUUCUGUACAGCACUUUGUGACAUCAGCUGAUGUAAGAAGGGCUUUAUAAAUACAUUUGAUUGAGAGUGACAGCCAGUGAGAGUCAUGUUGCAGAACUGAAGGGAAAGAACGCAGGUGACUAUAUAUCUUUACUUAUAAGAAAUACUACGUAUAUGUCUCACUUUAACACGAUUCAGUUUAUUUCAGGAUGUGGUAAAGCUACAUCUUGGUUUAUCGUUUUCACCAUAAAUGAUGUUUCUGCAUAAAUGAUUUUCUAGACCUGGAGGCCAGAGUGACAGCCAGCGACAGGCAGGUGGCAGAACUGAAGAAAGAGAAUGCAAGUGACUAAAAUGUUUCACUUAUAAGAACGACUGCAUGUAAUUCUUCACCUGAACAUAAUAACAUUCAGCAUCAUGUCGAGAUAUGAGAAACCAAAGCGAUGUAACAAAGCCACAUCAUGGCUUAAUCAUUUUCAAAAUAAAUGAUUUUCUUGCAUAAAUGAUCUUCUAGCCCUGGAGGCCAGAGUGACCACCAGUGAGAGACAGGUGGCAGAACUGAUGGGAAAGAAUGCAGGCCAGAGUGACAGCCAGUGAGAGUCAUGUGGCAGAACUGAAGAACGCAGCCCUGGAGGCAAGAUUGAGUGUUGCUGAGAGCCAGGGGGAGGAACUAAGGCUAGGUAUGUUCUCAGCACCAGUGAGAGGAGUCUACUACUUCACAUUCACCUCCAUGGGUCGAGAGCCUGGACAGAGAAAAUGGGUGUUUACUUGGUCAAAAAUGGACAGCAAAUGAUAUACAACGUCCAUGACAACUUCCAUGGUGGUUAUGAGUACAUGACAGGUGCCGUGGCUCUGGAGCUAGAGAAAGAUGACCUGGUGUACUUAAGGCUUUCUAAGGGCUGGGGGCUGUAUGAUGACAACUACAACCACAUUGUCUUUACUGGCAUCCUGCUCUUCACCACCAACCCUGCUAUGGGCCGACUCCACUAGUCCCUCUCCGUCCUCCGACAGUCUUCAAUAAACAUGGAAUGAGUGACUUUGUCCUGUCAUCAUCAAAGCACAUUACUCAGUCAUCAUCACAAACAUAAACCAGAUGGUAGAUGACAGCCUGUUAUCCUAUUUUAUUAUGAGAAGAACUGAGCUGCAUCAAUGCUAGAUCGGGCCAGUAAGUAUUUGAUCUAACUGAGCUGUAAUUUCACAAAAGCAUUUAUGCCAUUGUUUCUGAAGCAUUGGAGACCAAUACAGGUUUAUAAAUAUAAAACAUUAGUGCAUGAGUACAGUGUCCAGUGUCCAGUCUCAGCAGGAGGUGUUAUUGUGUUACCUGUAGGCCCAGGAUGU